rnacentral:rRNA from 1 species
AACAGGCUUAUCUCCCCCAAGAGUCCACAUCGACGGGGAGGUUUGGCACCUCGAUGUCGGCUCAUCACAUCCUGGGGCUGUAGUAGGUCCCAAGGGUUGGGCUGUUCGCCCAUUAAAGUGGUACGCGAGCUGGGUUCAGAACGUCGGGAGACAGUUCGGUCCCUAUCCGUCGCAGGCGUAGGAAAUUUGAGAAGACCUGUCCUUAGUACGAGAGGACCGGGAUGGACGUACCUCUGGUGUACCAGUUGUUCUGCCAAGGGCAUGGCUGGGUAGCU